GCAAAACCUGCAAAAUCGGAAAAAAAUUCUGUUGAACAAAAUCGAAUGGCUUUCCCGCGAUUUGAAAUCGAAUGGUUUUUCGUCGUCAAUAAAUACAUUCUCGGAAAAUAUUUGUGAUGCUGGAAACUUUCUCAAAAUACUCGGUCCGGAGAGGAAGUAGGUUUGGGAAAAAAAACAUCGUGGACACCGACUAUCGCUGCCAUCUAACCCUGAUGGCUUGAUUUAGGUGAUAAAGAGAUCUCCGCAAACAAUCGAGCUCCUGACGCUGUGUGACUUUGAGAAGAUGGUUGGACUGGACAUUCGUCAGUGUGAAAGUUAUUGAUACUUUCUCCCGCGAAGGAUAAUUCACUGAACGAGCUUGAAGUCGGUCGCAAAGCUGGUAGUAUUGGAUUCUCAGGAGCUGGAAAAGUGGAUUGAUAAUGGGAUCGGCAUUCAUUUGCACCAGUCAAUACGUUUUCGGGAUGUGCACCGAGGAGGAAAAAUCUGUUCCCACGCCAUUCGAGUCGUGAAAUUAGCUGCUUUUGCUCUCUUUAGCUUUUCAAAAAGGGAUCUUUUAUUGACGGCCAUAAUCGAUUGGAUCGACUGCUCUGAUUUAUUGAGCUACUUUAUUUGACUGGAUUGCUUUGAUUUAAUGGAUUGCUCCGAUUGAUUGACUAGCUUGGAUUGAAUGAGUUGUUUGUUGGUUUGAACUUAG